rnacentral:rRNA from 1 species
UAGGCGAGGUGCGUGAACGCGGGUUAGGGUAGAAGAGGGCAGGACGAGGUGUGGUCGGCGGUGUGUUGGGAUCGGGGAAAGGGUAGCUAGGGGUGUCGGGGAGGGAGGAAGAGCGAGGAGCGGUACCGGGUAAGGGUGCCGGGGAGGGAGGAGGAGCGAGGAGCGGUACCGGAGGAUGAGGGGAGGUGGUGGUAUGCACGUGUGUCUGCCGCCACGGCCUCUUCUCGUCGAGGUCAGUACCACCCCACGCCGACGCUGCCUCUACUUCCUCCAGGCGGCGGGUACAAACAGAGGAACGACAUAGGAAACAAUGGCUAGGAGGGAAGAGGGAAGCGGGGAUCGUCGUGUCGUCAGCCCCUGUUCCCCUUCCUCGUCCAGCUGGGCUUAGGUAGAGAGACGUUCUCCUGAUCUCCUCGUCCACCGCUCCCUUUGGCCGUGCCAGUCGCCGCCGCGACGUGUCCCUGCAGGUGGAGGCCAAAAGACAGGAUAGAGGCUAAGGGAAGGCAAAUUCACACAAUAAAAAGGAGAACCGGGCUAGAAGAGUGUACAAACCCCAGAGCACGACAUCCCUAUUCUAGACUUUGCCCUCCACACCAUAUUACGUAUCCACAUAUUAGAACCGAUAUAGAUACGACCACUAAACCGAUGGUUGAUGAUUUAGAUGCUUAGUAAACUUUUACAACUUGAACAACAGUCUGUACAAAACUAAUACGAAAAUUCGUGAUACGAAAGGACUAAGUCACGGUAAAUACACCACGUCCUCUUACAGCUAAAUUUCGUAAACCAAGACUACCUAGUAUAAUAACCAAGAGACAAGUUGACUUCUACAGAAAUCUAUCCUGAUUCCACUCAACUCAACACCGAACCAACCUCUACAACUACAACAAACUCUGCGGGCGACCUAAGUGGGAAAAGUUCCAAGACUUGUUCCCGUUCGAGCUCCAGCUCCCCAUAUACCUGGUGUUUACUACACUAUAUGAACCAAUAAAGUUCUACUCAUGCCGAGUCGUCCUUCCAGUUGGCACCCCUUCGCGUUGUAUCGCGCCGGAGUCGGUCAAUCCGAACAAUGUUCGAAGUCGACCUAGUUUAUCACCCGGAAGAUAUAUAUAGAAGUCGACAUAGUAACGAAUGAUAUACAUAGAAGGACAGCUGGUCUUUUUUGUUAUGUAGCUAAGAAACGGAGGAAUAAAGAACGAGUCUAGGGUACUAUGUUGGAGCCACCGACCGGUCGCUGAUUGUCCCACGUGGUGGCUACCACUUUUAUGGAGUGUCCUACUACAACCUGUAAGAAGAUGUUUGAAGUCCGGAUGGCCACCGACUCAGCUUCGUUUUACACUAGUACCGUACUACUAUGUUUUAGUAUUAGGAACAAGGAUACCUUCGUUUUCCUAAGUACUUUGGGUACCACUUUUUUCUCUAUUCUAUGAUGUUAAUGUCAUCGUACCUCUUUGGCUCCUGUGUUUUACUCAGACUUCUUACAAUACCGUCUAAGCAAGAUCGAUCCAUGUACGCCCGAAGAGAAUGUAUAUACGUUGCAUUCUUACACUUACUGGUCUUGAUAACACUACAACGAGAUAACAUUCUCAUGUUUAUUGAGUACCGAUAGAAAGAAAACAAAUGUACACUACACACCAUCUUCUACAUGAACGUCCUUCUGAAACCCCGAAAAAUCAACGAAGGGAGUAAGCGGGACGGUUUAGUACCCGGCUGGUUUUCUUAACCGCUCGUUUAGCGGGCGGGACCAAAGCGGUUUGUUAAAUUGUACCUUAGUCUACCUCCCUCACACCCGCUCGACCCGUACGGUUAUUUAGCACACGCUAGGUUCGUCUACGGGUGCGGGGUCAGUUACGGUUAUAAAACCGAACCGUCAACUCCCGUCACUAGGUUUGCCGGGGAAAAUUUGAAUGUUUAUUUCGAAAUCGUUCACACAAGAAUCAGUAGUGGGAAAGUUUGUUAUAUAGUAGAAGACCAAGAAAUUAGACAUAACAUGUCGGAGGCUGAUA